AGAGAUAAAAAUGGAUCAUAGAAAGCGAAAAGGCGGCGCUGAAAAGACCAGAAUAAAAAAAAAGAAAGCUCUAGAAACGGACGCGACCAAAUGUUGUAAGCUGAGUACAUUUGUCCUCAAAACAACAAAUGAAGACGACGAGACGGCCGCUCUUCAGCAGCAGCAGCCUCAAGUCCUGUUUGCUGCUAACAGAGAAGAACCAGGUCCGUUACCAUGCUCCAGUCAUGAGCCCACCACACCAGAAUGGGCAGAUUUACGUUUUCCUGUGAAGCUGCUUGGUGGUUCAACUUGAAUCGACAAUCGAAUGUUGGCUGUAGCUGAAGAGAUGGAGGCAACUGCCAAUUCACAUUGUUUUUACAUCAUAUUGAGAGCUUCGCUGAAAUUAUGGCAAUGAUAUUGGCCCUGACUGACGCAGACAUCAAUGGACAUGUGUUCACGAUCCUCGGCGAGAUGGUACAGCAGAUGAGGCUGCAAGGUGAGACAAUAGAGGAUCCCUCUGGAUCGAAGAGAGCUUGAUGACUGGUUGAGCCUGCCUGGUGUGUAAUACUGUUCAUUCACCAAUCAGAGGCUUUAACCCUUCCCCUGACUUUUGACAAGUGACAACAGAUUUAUUUUGCUGCAACAAGUUACACCGUGGAUAAAUGAAAGUAUAAAUAAAUAAA